AUUGAGAACGGGUAUGAAGGUUUGACAUUACUAGUCUGUAAAGAUUUAAUAGGUAGAAUUUAAAUUUUAAGUAAGAAUGCUUAAAUAUUAAAAAGGGACGAUAAGACCCUAAAAUCUUGAUUUAUAUAGUUUAGAUAGAGAAUUGUAUAAUAAAUUUAGCUGGGGUAGUAGUUACAAAAGAUUUGUAAAAGUAAAAACGUUUGGAUAAAAGAGGUUUUUAUAAAAAUUAUUUGAAAUAGUUACUUUAGGGAUAACAGCAUAAUAAUUUUGGUGAGUACUUAUUUAUAGAAUUGAUUAUGACCUCGAUGUUGAAUUAAAAAUUUUUUUUGAGGAAUAAGGCUAAAAAAAAGGUUUGUUCAGCCUUUAAAAUUUUACAUGAUUU
rnacentral:rRNA from 1 species